rnacentral:tRNA from 4 species
CGGACGUAGCCAAGUGGACCAAGGCAGU